AUUAAACGCUGGCGGCAUGCCUUACACAUGCAAGUCGAACGGCAGCACGGGGGCAACCCUGGUGGCGAGUGGCGGACGGGUGAGUAAUACAUCGGAACGUGCCCUGGAGUGGGGGGAUAACGCAGCGAAAGCUACGCUAAUACCGCAUAUUCUGUGAGCAGGAAAGCAGGGGAUCGCAAGACCUUGCGCUUUGGGAGCGGCCGAUGUCGGAUUAGCUAGUUGGUGGGGUAAAGGCCUACCAAGGCGACGAUCCGUAGCGGGUCUGAGAGGAUGAUCCGCCACACUGGGACUGAGACACGGCCCAGACUCCUACGGGAGGCAGCAGUGGGGAAUUUUGGGACAAUGGGCGGAAGCCUGAUCCAGCCAUGCCGCGUGAGUGAAGAAGGCCUUC
rnacentral:rRNA from 1 species